AUACGGCGGAUCCGAGCGUUAUCCGGAUUUAUUGGGUUUAAAGGGUGCGCAGGCGGCCAUUUAAGUCAGCGGUUAAAUCGUGGGGCUCAACCCCAUUCUGCCGUUGAUACUGGGUGGCUUGAUUGCGGUCGAGGUUGGCGGAAUUCGUUGUGUAGAGGUGAAAUGCAUAGAUAUGACGAAGAACACCGAUUGCGUAGGCAGCUGACCAGAUCGCAAAUGACGCUCAUGCACGAAAGUGCGGGGAUCGAACAGGAUUAGAUACCCUGGUAGUCCGCACAGUAAACGAUGAAUACUUGUUUUCGGCGAUAUAAUGUCGGAGGCAAAGCGAAAGCGAUAAGUAUUCCACCUGGGGAGUACGCCGGCAACGGUGAAACUCAAAGGAAUUGACGGGG
rnacentral:rRNA from 1 species